rnacentral:rRNA from 1 species
AGGAUUAACGCUGGCGGCGUGCAUGAAACAUGCAAGUCGAGCGCGGUGUGAUGAGGGGUAACCCAAUUCACAUCUAGCGGCGAACGGGUGAGUAACACGUGAGCAACCUACCUUUGAGUUGGGGGAUAGCCCUGGGAAACCAGGAUUAAUACCCGAUGUGGUCACAACAGGACAUCCUGAUGUGAGUAAAGGCGCAAGCCGCUCAAUGACGGGCUCGCGGCCUAUUAGCUUGUUGGUGGGGUAACGGCCUACCAAGGCGAUGAUGGGUAGCUGGUCUGAGAGGACGAUCAGCCACACUGGGACUGAGACACGGGCCCAGACUCCUACGGGAGGCAGCAGUUAGGAAUUUUCCGCAAUGGGCGAAAGCCUGACGGAGCAACGCCGCGUGAGUGAUGAAGACCUUCGGGUUGUAAAGCUCUGUCGGAGGGGAAGAACACAAUGACGGUACCUCCAAGAAAGCCCGGCUAACUACGUGCCAGCAGCCGCGGUAA